GACGAACGCUGGCGGCGUGCUUAACACAUGCAAGUCGAACGAUGAAGCCGGAGCUUGCUCUGGUGAAUUAGUGGCGAACGGGUGAGUAACACGUGAGUAACCUGCCCUUGACUCUGGGAUAACUGCGGGAAACUGUAGCUAAUACCGGAUACGACCCUCGGAGGCAUCUCCUGGGGGUGGAAAGAAUUUCGGUCAAGGAUGGACUCGCGGCCUAUCAGCUAGUUGGUGAGGUAAUGGCUCACCAAGGCGACGACGGGUAGCCGGCCUGAGAGGGUGACCGGCCACACUGGAACUGAGACACGGUCCAGACUCCUACGGGAGGCAGCAGUGGGGAAUAUUGCACAAUGGGCGAAAGCCUGAUGCAGCAACGCCGCGUGAGGGAUGAAGGCCUUCGGGUUGUAAACCUCUUUUAGCAGGGAAGAAGCGAAAGUGACGGUACCUGCAGAAAAAGCACCGGCUAACUACGUGCCAGCAGCCGCAGUAA
rnacentral:rRNA from 1 species